rnacentral:rRNA from 1 species
UACGGAGGGUGCAAGCGUUAUCCGGAUUUACUGGGUUUAAAGGGUGUGUAGGCGGGCUUUUAAGUCAGUGGUGAAAUCUCCGGGCUCAACCUGGAAACUGCCAUUGAUACUAUUAGUCUUGAAUUUUGUUGAGGUAGGCGGAAUAAGUCAUGUAGCGGUGAAAUGCAUAGAUAUGACUUAGAACACCAAUUGCGAAGGCAGCUUGCUAAACAAAUAUUGACGCUGAGGCACAAAAGCGUGGGGAUCAAACAGG